GACGAACGCUGGCGGCGUGCUUAACACAUGCAAGUCGAACGGAAAGGCCCUGCUUUUGUGGGGUGCUCGAGUGGCGAACGGGUGAGUAACACGUGAGUAACCUGCCCUUGACUUUGGGAUAACUUCAGGAAACUGGGGCUAAUACCGGAUAGGAGCUCCUGCUGCAUGGUGGGGGUUGGAAAGUUUCGGCGGUUGGGGAUGGACUCGCGGCUUAUCAGCUUGUUGGUGGGGUAGUGGCUUACCAAGGCUUUGACGGGUAGCCGGCCUGGGAGGGUGGCCGGCGACAAUGGGACUGCGAGACGGCGCAGACGGCUACGGGAGGCAGCAGUGGGGAAUAUGGCACAAUGGGCGGAAGCCUGAUGCAGCAACGCCGCGUGCGGGAUGACGGCCUUCGGGUUGUAAACCGCUUUCGCCUGUGACGAAGCGUGAGUGACGGUAAUGGGUAAAGAAGCACCGGCUAACUACGUG
rnacentral:rRNA from 1 species